ensembl:lncRNA
GGUUGUCUGAUGUCAGAGUGGAGUGAGCCGAGCUCUGAUUGGUGGGCUCCUCUGAGGAUGUGCCUGGCCAGAGAAUGGCAUCAGCUGUGAGGCACUGCCAACAAGCAGAGCAGCCUGCCAGUCUCCAGAUGUAUGCGUAGGAGAAGGGAAGUGGUUCUGAAGCCUAAACAGAGGGUAUUGUUUCCUAUUUCAUUUACCCAAAUGAAGAAGAAUCGAUUUCUAUGAUUCUCUGUUCCCACCUGUUCCAUACAGUGAGAGGGAGAGAGAGAGAGAGAGAGAGAGAGAGAGAGAGAGAUGAGUAAGAUGUUGGGAGCUCUGCCAAGAGUAGAAUUAACAGGAAAGAGAAAGUGAAAAGCAGUGAAAAUAAGCAUUCUUCCUCUAGUAAACAUGAGGAUGCUGUGCAUUAUGGACAAAGAGGAGAAACAUGAGGGAGGGAAUGAAAAUAGGAGAGAAAAGAGACACGAGUGGACUAAAUUUGACAGUUGGCCACAUGCGGCAGGCUCUUCUCUCUACCAGCCUUCGUCUCUUUCUGUUUCCCAAGAGCUCCGUCAGUAUGAAGAGGCCCGAGGACGCCAUCUCAUCUUCUCUCAGCCGGUGUCAAGCAGCAAUCCUGUGGGGCCCGUCCCUGCUUAAUUCAGCUUAGAGGCCCUCUCUCGUCCCCGACAUUCCUGAUCGCCUCAUUUUUCCCGGUAUGCCUCUCAGGGCUGAGGUAAUUAUUUCCAGAAUAAUAAUAACAGACAGAUUAGUAUGUUUAGCAGGCAGAUACAGUAUAUUGCUCUGUUCCCUUGCCUUACUUACAUUUGCCUCUGAACUGAGUGAUAUUAGAAUGGAUUAAUUCUGCUAUAAAAAAAUGAAAGCACUUAAUGACCCCUGUCGCUUUUCGGAAAGGUGGGGAACCCGCCUGAGGAGGAUUUCGUGAGGAUUCCACGUUGGACACCAGGAUCAGCAGGUGUUAAAGUCUUCAUUCGUUUCUGUCUUGGUUAUGGCUGACUUGGCUGUAUGAAAUUACUCAAAUGGUGGCUGGCCAUUAAAAUUCAAAAGGAAUCGGGUAUACGGUAAAUGGGAAGGGUGGAAAGAAAAAUGAUGAAAACUUGGAAGAAAAUGUAUUAUUAUUUAUUAAAAGUUCUGUUACAUGAGGUCUUUUGGAGCAUGCAUUGCCUCCUAUUAUGAAAUGUGAAUUAUUUUAAAAUGCAGCUUUUUUAACCUGGAAAACCUGACACACAAAAUAGUUUUGAACUGCUUAUUGAAACUUUAGAUAUGCUUUUAAUAAUUUAAAAAGUUUUGUUUGGUAUAAUAUUUAAUGCAUAAGGCUUUUAUGGCCCAUAUAGUAUUAUCUAUAUAGUGAGAAUAUGGAUCUCACACAGUAAUUCCCACAGGAUUAAAAUAUACUUGGGGUGAUAGCUGGGUGGAAAAUCCUCCUCUUACCCACGGCACAAAAAAAAAAUGGUCUGCUAGGUGUGACAAAUAACAAAUAAUGUGUGAUAAAAUAAUGUGUGAUUUCAAUAAAUAAAAUGUAUUUAACAGUAUUGUAUUAUUAAAUUAAUUUUAAUAAUGUAGGCUACUAAAUUUAAUUACAUACUGAUAUUAUGCACUGUAAAUUAUGCUAAAUGACAGCAUGUAAAUGGUAGAGUUCUCAUUGCUUUGUCAUACAGUGUCUCUCUCAGUGAAUGGAACACAGAAUUUACUAUACUAGUAAAAUCUAUAUAUUGAAUAAUAUGUUAAAUAAUCUUCUUUGACUUUUCUUCCUGUGGGGAAGCAUCCCAGCCAGAAACUACAAUUUAUGUUUAAGUUUAAAAUGAAUUAAAUAGAAAUUAAAUUAAAUUAAAUAGAAUUUAUUGUGUAACCAAAAUACAAAUUAUGCCCAGAAAAAAAAAAAAACAAACAAACAAAAAAACAAAAAAAACCCUAGUGUUACUUUUAAUUAUAAACAAGCCUGAAAUGCAUCAUAACUCUUAUUUUGCAAUAUCUAUACUAUUGCAGGUUGAUCCUUCAGAUGAGAGAUAAACUAUACAUUUUUUCAAGUUUAAAACAGAAUAUAUUAAGGUCAUAAAGUAGACAUUAUUGUCACAAUUCAUCAACUCGAGUUCAUAAGCAAUCGCUUGGGGAAAAUGUGCUUUUUUCAUUGAUUGAGAAUCAUUUUGAAGCACUAUUGCACAAGCCAGUAGAACAUGCAACAGUGCCGCCCCAACCUUUUUUUUUAUUAUUUAAAAUAAACCAUAGCCUUUUGAAAUUUAGUAAUCAAUAGGCUGUAUCGCAAAUUAUGUUUUCCAUCCCCAAAAUAUAAGAUGUCUUAAAAUGGUCAUUAAGAUGUUUGUUUUACCAUUCCAUGUAAUGAAAACUUUUUAUAACAUUAAAUUUAAGUGAACUCACCCAUAGGGAUUUUGCUUUAUUUGCACAUGAGCUCCUAAAUACAUGUUACAGUUUGCACACGCGACUGAAGCUCCCGCACUGUUGAGCCCUGUCUUUGUCUGUGAAAUAUCCACCGCGUCACUGCAGCACACGAGGGAAAGUCAGCUGGAGUAAACUGUUCUCGUGCACACAGAAUGAGCAGAUACAAGAGGAGAUUUUCCAACAGAUAAUUAAUAGCGGAUGGUUAUAUAAUAAAUAAAUAAAUCUAUUUAUCUAUCUCUUUAAAUAGCAUCUUAUAUUUAAAUAUAAGACAUGUUAUUUUGAAUUUUUAUUUAUUAAAUAAAAAUAAAUAAAUAAAAAAUCCCAAUAAUAUGUCUUAUAUAUAAAUAUAAGAUGCUAUUUAAAAGGAUUAGUUAUAUGAUCAGAGCUCUGUAGUUUUAAUUGUGGGGCAAAGCCAAUAAUGCAAUACAAUACAGUGAUGACUGAGACAUGAAUAAGCAUUCCUCAAAAACCUGCUAAAUCAUAUUCAAUACUUAAAAAAAUAAAAUGAUAAAAUCAAGUUAACCUACAGUGAGUUGUUUAAUUCCAGUAUGUUCAUCUUACAUAUUCCUAAAUAUGAAAGUUGUUCUUAUAUUUACUUAAUAAAAAUCAUUAAAGAUUUUACAGCAGAAUGACAGCUGUAUUUUUACAGCAAUAAAAAAUAUUACAGCA